rnacentral:lncRNA from 1 species
AUGGGUGGAAAAUUUGAAUAAUUAAUUGAAAAAUCAGAUAAAAUUAGAAAAAAUUAGAAAAAACUUGGAAAUAAAUCUGGGAUAGUGUAACUACAUUUGCAUGUCAUGAAAAGCAUUCAGGGCCAGAGGAAGAUGCGGCAAUUGACAAAUUAAUUAGAAAAACGGAAAAACAAGGGAAAAGUGAGCAACAAUCCUAGAAUGGUGCAUUCUGAUGGUCUCUCUCCUUCACCUUAACGAGCGUGCAUGGACGAAAGAAUAGAUGACGUUUGCAGUUAACCCCCCAGAUCAGGAAAAAUUCAGGGAAUUCAGUUGAUUUAUUGUCUCUAAGGAAACAUGUUCAAAGUGUAGCGUACUCUACUUUCCUUCUUGAAUCUCGAAACAUUUUUACGAAGGUUGUACAGAACACAAGGAGUGCAUGUUCGGUUUGCCCCGAGCCCAACAGGUUACCUGCAUCUCGGAGGCCUCCGUACAGCUCUGUGCAACAUGAUGCAACUAUUCUUUGGCUCGAGAAAACCAAGGGUAUUCUGUUCUGCCCUUGGAAGACACGCACCAAACAGGAAUCAUACCAGAUGCUGCCGGUAACCUCCAAGAGGAUCCAUUCUGAACUGGAAUCAUCCCCCACAAAGACUCGACAAGGGGUGGACCCGCAGGCUCCUACUUUCUAUUAAAGCGUCUCGAAUUAUACAACGAGCAGGUUCAAGAAGUUUUCCUCCAAAAUGUCUUGGCUUGACGC